rnacentral:rRNA from 1 species
CUCAUGGCUCACGACGAACGCAGGCGGGAUGCAUUACACAUGCAAGUCGGACGUUGGCUCAGGACGAACGCUGGCGGCGAGUGGCGAACGGGUGAGUAAUGUAUCGGAACGUGCCUAGUAGCGGGGGAUAACUACGCGAAAGCGUAGCUAAUACCGCAUACGCCCUACGGGGGAAAGCAGGGGAUCGCAAGACCUUGCACUAUUAGAGCGGCCGAUAUCGGAUUAGCUAGUUGGUGGGGUAACGGCUCACCAAGGCGACGAUCCGUAUCUGGUUUGAGAGGACGACCAGCCACACUGGGACUGAGACACGGCCCAAACUCCUACGGGAGGCAGCAGUAGGAGAUCAGCCACUGUGGAACUGACACGCGGCCCAGACUCCUACGGGAGGCAGCAGUAGGAC